rnacentral:lncRNA from 1 species
AGACCACAGAGACAGACAGACGGAAACUUACUUUGUAGAGCAGUACCAAGACAGAAGACAGAGGGAGGUUAAAGAGGAAAGGAAAGGGAACAAAAGAGAAGAAGUGAAACAAUCGGGGAUGUAGCUCAAGAGAUGGAAUGGUUUCCUGGCACGAAGAAAGUCCUUGCUUCCAUCUCCAGUACCCCAUAAACCGGCACCCCAUCAUCCCAGCAUACAUGAAGUGAAAGCAGAAGACCCGGGAGUGCAGCCAUCAAGGCUACAAAGCAACGAGGCCAGCCUGAGCUACACAAAAGGAG